CCUANGGGUGGCUGCAGUCGAGGAUCAUUCGCAAUGGGCGAAAGCCUGACGAUGCGACGCCGCGUGAACGAAGAAGGCCUUCGGGUUGUAAAGUUCUUUGAGCAGGGGCGAACGCUUUCCCGCGAACAGCGGGUAGAGCCUGACGGUACCUGCAGAACAAGCCACGGCUAACCUCGUGCCAGCAGCCGCGGUAAUACGAGGGUGGCUAGCGUUGUUCGGAUUUACUGGGCGGAAAGGGGGUCUAGGUGGUAUGCUAAGUCUUCUGUGAAACCCCGGAGCUUAACUCCGGAACUGCAGAGGAAACUGGCAUGCUAGAGUACGUAAGACGCAUGCGGAAUACUGGGUGUAGCGGUGAAAUGCGUAGAUAUCCAGUAGAACACCUGCGGCGAAAGCGGCCUGCGUGUACGUUACUGACACUGACGCCCGAAAGCGUGGGGAGCAAACAGGAUUAGAUACCCGGNUAGUC
rnacentral:rRNA from 1 species